UGACAGGUGGUGCAUGGUUGUCGUCAGCUCGUGUCGUGAGAUGUUGGGUUAAGUCCCGCAACGAGCGCAACCCUGUCUUAGUUGCCAGCAUUCAGUUGGGCACUCUAGCGAGACUGCCGGUAAUAAACCGGAGGAAGGUGGGGAUGACGUCAAAUCAUCAUGCCCCUUAUGACCUGGGCUACACACGUGCUACAAUGGUUGGUACAACGAGUUGCGAGUCGGUGACGGCGAGCUAAUCUCUUAAAGCCAAUCUCAGUUCGGAUUGCAGGCUGCAAUUCGCCUGCAUGAAGUCGGAAUCGCUAGUAAUCGCAGGUCAGCAUACUGCGGUGAAUACGUUCCCGGGCCUU
rnacentral:rRNA from 1 species